rnacentral:rRNA from 1 species
UUAGGGAUCUUGUGCAAUGGGGGAAACCCUGACACAGCAACGCCGCGUGAGGGAUGAAGGCCUUCGGGUCGUAAACCUCUUUUCUGAGGGAAGAAACCUGACGGUACCUCAGGAAUAAGCAACGGCUAACUACGUGCCAGCAGCCGCGGUAAUACGUAGGUUGCGAGCGUUGUCCGGAAUCACUGGGCGUAAAGCGCACGCAGGCGGCCUCGAAAGCCCAUGGUGAAAGCCCUCGGCCCAACCGAGGGAUGCCCAUGGGAACUCCGGGGCUCAGAAGACGGGAGAGGCGGAUGGAAUUUCCGGUGUAGCGGUAAAAUGCGUAGAUACCGGAAGGAACACCAGUGGCGAAAGCGAUCCGCUGGCCCGCUCUUGACGCUCAGGUGCGAAAGCUAGGGUAGCGACCGGG